GACCGUGUGCCCGAGUGGUUCAGGGGCUCGCCUGCAAAGCGAGUGACGUCGGUUCGAAUCCGAUCACGGUCU
rnacentral:tRNA from 1 species